UACCAGCACCCCGAGUGGUCGGGACGUUUAUUGGGCCUAAAGCAUCCGUAGCCGGUUCUACAAGUCUUCCGUUAAAUCCACCUGCUUAACAGAUGGGCUGCGGAAGAUACUAUAGAGCUAGGAGGCGGGAGAGGCAAGCGGUACUCGAUGGGUAGGGGUAAAAUCCGUUGAUCCAUUGAAGACCACCAGUGGCGAAGGCGCCACUCUGGGCCGAAACUGACGCUGAGGAGCGAAAGCGUGGGUAGCAAACAGG
rnacentral:rRNA from 1 species